ACACCUCAACUCCCAUGGUUCGCCAUGGUGAGCUUGGACUUUGGGGGUUUUGCUGGCCCAUGGUCAGCUCCUCUCAAAUGAAUUAGCCUGCCAGUGUUUGGUGGCAUCACAGGUGUGAUAAAUAUCUACGCUUGUGGUUUUCUGCCAGGUAACCUUUGGCAACAGAGGUUCAUUGGAGCUCAUAAACGUCUCUCCUCAGUGAGGACAGCUCUUUGAAU
rnacentral:misc_RNA from 1 species